CCCGCCAUAUAUUGCUGUCAUGUCCAUCACAUUCCUGAUAUGUAACCAGUCGAUGCCUAGUCCAGUGAGGUAAGACUUGUUAACCAUAGCUUUCCAGUGAUCUGUAUCUCCAACAGCUUUCUCUUUGCUGGUUAACCACUCAGGGUAUGUUUCAAGUCUCUUUGGCCAUUCUUCAGGCCACUCUGCUCCGUGUUGUUCUAUAGCUGACGGUAUCUCAUAUAAACAGGUUUUCAUCGGCACAUACCUAAGCCAAAAGCUCAAAACUCAUCAACAAGUUCAUUGAAAGAAAGAUAAAAGCUAUAUAUCAACAAUUGCUGUUACUUACCAAGCUGCGUCUGGGUUCUCGUUUUCCUUGCAAAGAGGUGGAUUCUUCCUCCUUCUCAGUUCAUAGAUAUCAUUUGAUUCUGGUUUCUGAUAUAUUCUUACUCCCAUUUCACUUGCUUCUUCGGUUUUGUGUGCAAGAAUGUUCCAACAAAUAGAAGCUGUCAAUGCAGUCAUCGCUGCCCACCACGGAUGAACUUUGUUACAAGUAGAACUAAUUACAAUAAAAAUACUAAAAGAACAAGUAGAGUUUCAACUAGGCCUGAAAUUUUUAACCGAACCACCGAAAUUUUUGGUUAGUUCGGUUGGAUUCGGGUAGGUUUUCUAAAAAAAAUCGUUUUUUGGUUUGGCAAUCGGUUACAUUGCGUUUCUUCUUUUUUUAAAAAAAAAAAAGAAUACCCAAACCAUAUCAAAAAUCCGAACUGAACUAACUAAAUUUCUAAGCAAAUUAACGGAAUUUAACCAAAUUUAUCUGAAAUUUUAACAAAACUGAACCAAAAUCAAAAACUUCGGUAGGAUUUUUGAAAACCGAACUAACGAAUACUGAACCAAAUUUUAUUUUGGGUUAAUUCGGUAAGAUUUAUGUUGAACCGAACUAACCAAAAACCGAAUAACCCAAACCCGCAUGCCUAAAACCAC
rnacentral:lncRNA from 1 species